GGUGGCACAGUGGUUAAACGUUUGGCUGCUAACCAAAAUGUUGGUAGUUCAAAUCCACCAGCCGCUU
rfam:Loxodonta africana unplaced genomic scaffold scaffold_5, whole genome shotgun sequence.